AAUUAUUAUAAAAAAUGUUUUGAAAACAUUUAUAAGAAAUAAAUUUUCUGAUAAUUU
rnacentral:tRNA from 1 species